rnacentral:rRNA from 1 species
UACGUAGGGGGCAAGCGUUGUCCGGAAUUAUUGGGCGUAAAGAGCGCGUAGGCGGUCCGAUAAGUCGGCUGUGAAAGUCAGGGGCUCAACCCUUGAAAGCCGGCCGAUACUGUCGGACUAGAGUCCGGAAGAGGCAAGUGGAAUUCCCGGUGUAGCGGUGAAAUGCGCAGAUAUCGGGAGGAACACCAAUGGCGAAGGCAGCUUGCUGGGACGGUACUGACGCUGAGACGCGAAAGCGUGGGGAGCAAAC